rnacentral:rRNA from 1 species
GUGGGGAAUCUUGCGCAAUGGGCGAAAGCCUGACGCAGCCAUGCCGCGUGAAUGAUGAAGGUCUUAGGAUUGUAAAAUUCUUUCACCGGGGACGAUAAUGACGGUACCCGGAGAAGAAGCCCCGGCUAACUUCGUGCCAGCAGCCGCGGUAAUACGAAGGGGGCUAGCGUUGCUCGGAAUUACUGGGCGUAAAGGGCGCGUAGGCGGACAGUUUAGUCAGAGGUGAAAGCCCAGGGCUCAACCUUGGAAUUGCCUUUGAUACUGGCUAUCUUGAGUAUGGAAGAGGUAUGUGGAACUCCGAGUGUAGAGGUGAAAUUCGUAGAUAUUCGGAAGAACACCAGUGGCGAAGGCGACAUACUGGUCCAUUACUGACGCUGAGGCUCGAAAGCGUGGGGAGCAAACAGGAUUAGAUACCCGAGUAGUCC